rnacentral:rRNA from 1 species
CCUACGGGGGGCUGCAGUGGGGAAUAUUGCACAAUGGGCGCAAGCCUGAUGCAGCCAUGCCGCGUGUGUGAAGAAGGCCUUCGGGUUGUAAAGCACUUUCAGCGGGGAGGAAGGCGGUGAGGUUAAUAACCUCAUCGAUUGACGUUACCCGCAGAAGAAGCACCGGCUAACUCCGUGCCAGCAGCCGCGGUAAUACGGAGGGUGCAAGCGUUAAUCGGAAUUACUGGGCGUAAAGCGCACGCAGGCGGUCUGUCAAGUCGGAUGUGAAAUCCCCGGGCUCAACCUGGGAACUGCAUUCGAAACUGGCAGGCUAGAGUCUUGUAGAGGGGGGUAGAAUUCCAGGUGUAGCGGUGAAAUGCGUAGAGAUCUGGAGGAAUACCGGUGGCGAAGGCGGCCCCCUGGACAAAGACUGACGCUCGGGUGCGAAAGCGUGGGGAGCAAACAGGAUUAGAUACCCGAGUAGUC